CUAGCUGUAAACGAUGGAUACUAGGCGUUGAGAGUAUCGACCCUCUCAGUGUCGUAGCUAACGCGUUAAGUAUCCCGCCUGGGGAGUACGCGCGCAAGCGUGAAACUCAAAGGAAUUGACGGGGACCCGCACAAGCGGUGGAGUAUGUGGUUUAAUUCGAUGCAACGCGAAGAACCUUACCAGGGCUUGACAUGUCCGGAACCCCGCCCAAAGGCGGGGGUGCCUACGGGAACCGGAACACAGGUGGUGC
rnacentral:rRNA from 1 species